GGCCUCGUGGCCCAAUGGCAAGGCGCUUGACUACGAUUUCUCAGAAAAUCUGACAUCAAGAGAUUCUGGGUUCGACCCCCAGCGAGGUCA